rnacentral:lncRNA from 1 species
CGGGGUUGUGCAAUCCUGCGUACGCACAGAGAUGGCACAGUGCGACUUGUGAUAGCCUGUGCUCCCUGCUCACGCAUUGCAGCAUCCGGAAACGGAAUCGAGAGGGGCCGGGCUGAACAGGAGGUGUUAUGGACAGACUGCUUCCUUCAUGUGUCACUACCAUCAUCUGCAAGAUCACAGAGCUUAAAGAGAAGGUUUACCCUCUACAUCAGGAAACCUCACCAUUCUCUGUCUGAACUGAACACUGAACCAUGAACCUCAAAGGAACCUAAACUCUCCCAAUGACUGGAACAUCCUGAUGUAAUGAUCCAACACAGUCUUGGCUUCCAUGACAGCUUAAUAAGGAUAAGCCCACGUAACCAGAGAUUAUCCAGUUCUCAUUUGGAAAACACACUCUGCAUUUAUUAUCUCAUAUAUGCCAAGAAAAGAAGGGAAAAAAAAGAAAGCUAAGAAGGCACUGGUUUUCAUCCAAGAAUACAAAAAAAGAGUACUGAAGACUUAGGUACCUAAGAGUGGAAGAAAAUCAAAGCCAAGGCUUGCCAAAAGUCACAAAAUAAUUCAGAUAUGAAUUGUGGAAUCACCACAGAGAUCUCCAAGAUAAGAAAUGCAGUUCUGACUGGCAGCUAUUCUUAAGGUAAAAAUUUGGUAAAACUGCAAAACACUUGUGAAAAGUG